AACCCAUGAUUUGGACAUUUUCUCAGCCUCAUCUUGAAUCUCUCCCAUGUUUCACAGAAAGAUUCCUCUGCUCAUUAUCUAAACAUAAAGAUUUUAGACUUAGUUU
rnacentral:snoRNA from 1 species